AGCGAGGCCCCCCUCCCCUGGGGCUCCUAUGGCGCAUGCCCAGUAGCAGGUAGAAGGCGCGUCCUCCCCGAGUCGGAGCCCCCCUCCCUUCCUUGCCCCAGCGCCUGCGCAGUCGAACCAGGUCUCGGAGAGGAGGUCCCGGCCCACUCCCUCCCCGCCCCCCAGCCCAAGGCCAGGCCCUCACCCUCCGCGAAUGCAGGCAGCCCCGGAGCGCCGCGGGCCACGGCUGCCGAGGUACCUCAGCGCGCGCUCAUUCGCUCGCUCCCUCCGCCACCGCCGCCCGUCACGUCAGUCAGACUUCGGCUGCGGCGGCUCCGGAGCCUCCUCCGCGGGAUCCUGUCACCUGACUCAGGGGAUGAGAUCUACGUAAAGGCACUUCCGGCCCUCUACCGGAAGGGAACGGCGGGCACCGUGGGCGGAGACACCUCCGGCCUGAAGACCAAGGUUCCGCCAGCUGGGACCCAUGUGAGUUGCGGAAGAGGGAAGGACCAGGCCCAGAAUGUCGGGGGAGCUUCUCCCUUUCAGUUCUCUGGCGGUUCUCCUGGAGCAGCCCUGGCGAAGCUUGAUAGACAGGUAAAGCUCCUCAGCAGGGGGAGGGGAGUGCAUGAAGAUUCAAACACACCUGGAUGCUCAAUAAUGACAAAGUACCCACUAUGUGCCAGGCACUGUUCUAAAUGCCGGGGUAACAAAGAAUGACAAAAGACAGUUUCUUCUCAUGGGGAGCCCCCAAUCUAAUGACAAUUAUGGGCACACAAGAUCUACCUGGAGAAAAGGUUCUAAAAGACUUCUUUUAGCUAAGAUUUGAAGGAAGUCAAGGAGGGCAGGAAACAGAGAUAAGGAGGGAGAGAAUUCUAAGCAUGAGAGGCAGUCUGGAAAUGCCCAGUUUGCCCAUUUCCCAUGACCCACUGCUCCUCCAUCUUACCUCGGCAACCCACAAGAGAUGGUGGUACACCCAUUUCUGUGUUCGUGAUUCCCUUGCCCUAGCCCGGUGGUCAUUCCAUCUCUCCCUCUGCCUUACGAUCCCAAGCCCUGUUCUCUAUUUAUCCCCACUGCGGUCCCCCUACUCCUCAGUUCACUCUCUGGCCAUCACUCUUCUACUGGCCUAUCUUGACCUUGAAUGAACCAGUUUAACUCUACACUCCCCCUGAAUGCCUUGUGCCUUUAUGAUAUUAUUGCCAUUUUUGUCCUGCUGAGCCUCAGCCUGGAUUUCCCAUCAGCCAUUGCCUUUGUUUCUAUUUAGGCGCUUGAGAAAAUAAUUAAGUUAUGCUGAUUGUCUUUUCGUGGUAGCAAAGAAUUGGAAAUUGAGGGGUUGUCCAUCAAUUGGGGAGUGGCUGGACUGUUGUAGUAUGUGAUAGUGAUGAAAUACUAUUGUGCUAGAAGAAAUGACAAGCAAGAUGAUUUCAGAAAAAUCUAGAAGGAUUUCCAUGAACUGAUGCAAAGUGAAGUGGGCAGAACCAGAAGAACAUUGUACACAGUAACAGCAAAUUUUUUUUAGUGAACAAUUGAGCAUGCCCAAUUUAUUCUCAGCAAUGCAGUGAUCCAAGAUGAUCCCAGAGACUCAGGAUGAAAAAUGUCAUCUGCCCCAAGAAAGAACUGAUGGAGUCUGAAUGCAGACUGGAACAUACAUUUUGUUUUCUUUCUUCCUUUAAAACUUUUUUAAAAGAUCUCUUCUACAAAAUGAUUAACAUGGGGAAAUGUUGUACAGGAUUGCACAUGUAAAUUCUAUAUUUAAUAGCAUUCUAUAUAUCUAAUAAUUCUAUAUUAAAUAGCAGAUUGCUUACCAAAUCAGGGAAGGGAGAGGGGAGGGAGGGUCAGAAGAAGGGAAAGUGUUUGGAACUCAAAAAUUUUAAAAAAUGAAUGUUAAAAAAUUGUUUUUACAUGCAAUAGAGGGGGAAAGAAAAAAAAGAAAGAAUUGGUGGAGUAUGAAUGUAGGUUCAAGCAUACUAUCUUUUACUUUCUUCAUUUCUUUUUGUUUUCUUCUACAACAUUAUGGAUGGAAAUAUGUUUUAUGGAAAGAUGUUUUACAUGAUUGUACAUGUAUAAUCUAUAUUGGAUUGCUUACCAUCUUAGGGAGGUUUAAAAGGAGGGAAGGAGAAAAUUUGGAGCUCAAAUUAAAAGAAUGUUAAAAUUGUUUUUACAUGUAAUUGAGGAAAAAUAAAAUAUAGUAAAAAUAAAAUGACA
ensembl:lncRNA